UCGCUUCUCCCUCAUGCGUGACCAAACCCCCCUUCGUUUUUUUUUUACCCAACCGUCGUCCUCCUCAGCCCGACCAGAUCGCCAAUCGUCGCCUCCGCCCGAGCUCUGUAGCAGGCCUCCACAGUCGUUCCUCUACGCAUCGCCCACGAACCGCCCGAGCUCCGCUCCAGACCACCUCCAUCCGAGCUCUAUGGCAGGCCUCUAUAGCUGCUCCUCUGUGCGUCGCCCACGAACCGACCAGCGCCGCUCCAGACUCAUCUGCACCGGAGCCGCCGCCGCCAGUGCCGCUCCUCUCCUUCAAUCGACCAGUUCUGUGUCGGAUUCCUCUUGUCGCUACCGUCGUUGCUUGUGUUGUCAUCGGAUUUAUCAACUUGGGUAAAGGCAGAGAUGCAACGACGAUGGACAAGCGGAAUUCGUGAUCGAGCCACUAGGACUAGUUUUAAUGCUUCCACUCAUGAGACUUAGAAUUCCUUUCAUGUUUUACUUAAUUUUCAGUUUUGAUAUUUGAAACCUACUAUUAAGGAUUGUUUUCAGACUUAUUUAUUAACAUUUAUGAUUUAUGGGUACUCUCUUAUCGUCUUUAAUGUUUACAUUUAAUAAAGGACUUUUGAACUUA